UAAUGUAUACAUUUACUGCAAGUAGAGAUGCUGACCAGUUGUUUCUCUAGCAAGAAUUAUGGCAACUAAAGUAAAUAUUUGUUUAAAGAAAUUGCUAUGGGGCUAUUGGGUCUUCAAGUAUUUCCAUGUUUGCACAAAUAAAUUUUUUUGCAAACAAGGCAGGAAAUUUCAAUUAUUUCAAUGUGCUGAGCAUCUUCCAGUAGUGGUAGUCUACUGCUAACCUGUCUUAUAGCUAAGCACUUUGAUGUUGAGUAUGUCAUCUUCUUUCAUUUAAACCAUACAGCUUUGUUACCAAAUAGAGUAGCCACUCACUACAAAUGGAUAUUUGAGUAAAAUUAAAAUUCAGUUCCUUUAUGCACUAGCCACAUUUCAAACACACAGUAACCACAUGUGGCUAGGCCUACUCUGUUCAACACACAGCCUUAGACGUUUGAGGUUAAAUCCUAAGGAUUUUCAGUUGCAAUAGCAAGUACCUCAUCACGGCUUGCAUUGUAUCUUUUCUGCUUGAUACAUAUACAUUCAAUAAAUAUUUUUUGAAAUAAAGAAUGUAGGUGAUACAGAAUAUUAUGAUGAUAUGCAACUGUUAAUAGGCUCUUCUUCCAUCACAACAUAACAGAAGCCAUAGACAGUAAUGCCUUUAGUUUUUUGUUUUGUUUUUAAUGUUUUUAUUGAUUUUAGAGAGAGAGAAGCAUCAAUCAGUAGCCUCCUGCAUUCACCCUAACCAAGGAUUGAACCCACAACCUGGAUAUGUGCUGUAACCAGGAAUUGAACUUUCUACUUUUGGUGCACAUGAUGAUGCUCAACCAAUUGAGUGACACUAGCCAGGCCACAUUUAGUUUUUUAGGCUUUUUCCUCUUCUUUGUCUCCUUUAAAGCAGUUAGUCUUAACCCAAAAUUUUUUAUUGGUUAAAUUUCUCACUGAGGAUUCUGUGAUAGUGCUUUGGAUAACUAAAGAACAGAUUUGAUGCUUUUAGCUUUGUGAUUUUCUUCCCAGCUAUUUAGAGUUUCAUGACUUGUCAUCUGUGUUAAUGAUGAUGGUAGGAGAUUUUGCUUUGGGUGGUGAACACACAGUACAGUAUUCAGAUAAUAUAGAAUUGUGUACUUAAAACCUAUAUAAUUUUAUUAACCAAUGGCACCUCAAUAAGUUCAUUAAAAUUUU